UCCGGUGAUAAUAAAGAGUUGAUCUCAUACCUGCUGCGAGGUCUUGGAUCUGAGUAUGAUGCAUUGGUGACCAGCAUCACCACACGCACCGACAAUGUCUCCGUCAGCGACGUCUACCCGCAUAUGCUCAGCUUUGAGC